CGAGCGGUAACAGAUCCAUGCUUGCUGGCAUGCUGACGAGCGGCGGACGGGUGAGUAAUGCAUAGGAAUCUGCCCGAUAGUGGGGGAUAACCUGGGGAAACCCAGGCUAAUACCGCAUACGUCCUACGGGAGAAAGGGGGCUCCGGCUCCCGCUAUGGGAUGAGCCUAUGUCGGAUUAGCUAGUUGGUGAGGUAACGGCUCACCAAGGCCACGAUCCGUAGCUGGUCUGAGAGGAUGAUCAGCCACAUCGGGACUGAGACACGGCCCGAACUCCUACGGGAGGCAGCAGUGGGGAAUAUUGGACAAUGGGGGCAACCCUGAUCCAGCCAUGCCGCGUGUGUGAAGAAGGCCCUCGGGUUGUAAAGCACUUUCAGCGAGGAAGAACGCCUAGCGGUUAAUACCCGCUAGGAAAGACAUCACUCGCAGAAGAAGCACCGGCUAACUCCGUGCCAGCAGCCGCGGUAAUACGGAGGGUGCAAGCGUUAAUCGGAAUUACUGGGCGUAAAGCGCGCGUAGGUGGCUUGAUAAGCCGGUUGUGAAAGCCCCGGGCUCAACCUGGGAACGGCAUCCGGAACUGUCAAGCUAGAGUGCAGGAGAGGAAGGUAGAAUUCCCGGUGUAGCGGUGAAAUGCGUAGAGAUCGGGAGGAAUACCAGUGGCGAAGGCGGCCUUCUGGACUGACACUGACACUGAGGUGCGAAAGCGUGGGUAGCAAACAGGAUUAGAUACCCUGGUAGUCCACGCCGUAACGAUGUCGACCAGCCGUUGGGUGCCUAGCGCACUUUGUGGCGAAGUUAACGCG
rnacentral:rRNA from 1 species